GACGUAGGGCGCGAGCGUUGUCCGGAUUUAUUGGGCGUAAAGAGCUCGUAGGCGGUUUGUCGCGUCGUUCGUGAAAACUCACAGCUUAACUGUGAGCUUGCGGUCGAUACGGGCAGGCUAGAGUUCGGUAGGGGAGACUGGAAUUCCUGGUGUAGCGGUGAAAUGCGCAGAUAUCAGGAGGAACACCGGUGGCGAAGGCGGUUCUCUGGGAAUGACCUGACGCUGAGGAGCGAAAGUGUGGGGAGCGAACAGG
rnacentral:rRNA from 1 species